UACAGAGGUCCCAAGCGUUGUUCGGAUUCACUGGGCGUAAAGGGUGCGUAGGUGGUCGGGUAAGUCUGAUGUGAAAUCUCCGAGCUUAACUCGGAAACUGCAUCGGAUACUAUUCGGCUCGAGGGUUGGAGGGGGGACUGGAAUGCUUGGUGUAGCAGUGAAAUGCGUAGAUAUCAGGAGGAACACCGGUGGCGAAGGCGGGUCUCUGGGCCGAUACUGACGCUGAGGCACGAAAGCCUGGGGAGCGAACGGG
rnacentral:rRNA from 1 species